rnacentral:rRNA from 1 species
UACGGGGGGGGCAAGCGUUGUUCGGAAUUACUGGGCGUAAAGGGAGCGUAGGCGGGUUAUCAAGUUGGAGGUGAAAGCCCAGGGCUCAACCUUGGAAUUGCCUUCAAAACUGAUAGCCUAGAGUAUGAUAGAGGUAAGUGGAACUCCGAGUGUAGAGGUGAAAUUCGUAGAUAUUCGGAAGAACACCAGUGGCGAAGGCGACUUACUGGAUCAUGACUGACGCUGAGGCUCGAAAGCGUGGGGAGCAAACAGG